GCUGGGAGUGUGGCGGCUCCUGUAAUCCGGCUACUCGGAGGCUGGUUAUGUUUGGAGGGUCUGAGGUCGGGGGUCACUGCUGGUGCAGGGUUCACGUUGACUGGGCGUCCGCACUAAGCUCGCCAUCAAUAUGGUCACCCUGGAGGAGUCCGGUGGUGACCAGGUUGCUAAGGAGAGGCGAACCGGGCCAGAGGGAAAACCCAGCAGCCAAAAGUCUCCGUGGCGGGCAGUAGUGGGAUCGCGCCCGGGAGUGGGACCGUAUCGGCAGCCUGGUUAAUAUGAUCCGACACAUAACUUU
rnacentral:SRP_RNA from 1 species